UGAGGAACAUGACCUUCGGCGGGGGAUAGCCGGCCCAACGGCCGGGUAAUACCGCGUACGACCUUUUGGGGACAUCCCCGAAUGGUGAAAGCAGCAAUGCGCCGAUGGAGUGCCUCGCGGCCUAUCAGCUAGUUGGUGAGGUAACGGCUCACCAAGGCAACGACGGGUAGCUGGUCUGAGAGGAUGGCCAGCCACAGUUGGGACUGAGACACGGCCCAGACUCCGUACGGGAGGNACG
rnacentral:rRNA from 1 species